AAUCAAAAGUCUUCCAGCCAAUCAGCCUAAACAAAAUAGCAACGUUAAUUUGUUCCAAGACACAAACGCACAAAGUACAGUAUAUUGAACUUCUACAAUAUAAAACAGUCUCCUAAAGUUGAACGUGAGUGUCAGAUUAUCUGACUUGCAAAUUAGGACGUUUUGCUUCUGCGUCUGGAGGUGUGACAGGUUGUGGUAGAAUGGAUAUGGUAGCUCUCUCUUUUCCAGGCUUAAAGCCUUACUGUCAUCCCUCAUGCAAAAGCAAUUCCAUGGUUUUGCUCAUCCCUGUUACCCUUCCUCUGUGUUUUCCAUCACUCCUGUCUCCCUUUUGAGACACAGAGCCAACAUUCAAGAUGCCACACCACGGACCUAAAGGCAUAUUCCUUUCCUAAUAAUAACUGAAGUUCUCUUGCUGUGAUUGAUAGUCAAUCAUUUUAUUGGUACUGACAAACAAGCUCACAGUUCCACAGAACUACCCGUCCUGAUCUUAAAGUCUCAUUUUUAAGUGUUCACAGCUCAAAUCUCGGUGUCGUGUAAACUUUGGCUUUCUCCCUCAUCCACUGCACAACAUGCAUUAAGUUUACAAUUAGCUACUCUUAAAGAGAAAAAAAACAAAAUGAAUGAAAAACAAAACAUGAAUUUACCAUCCACUUUGUCUCAUGAGGUCUUUCUAUAAUUCUUCAUGGUUAGCUUUCCUCUUUACUACUCUGAGUAAUUUAGUGUCAACAGCAAAUGUUGUAUUAUUAAAAAACGAUCCAGAAAAGAGGUGAGCACCAGAGAAUAACUCCUAUGGGACUCUACUGGUGGCUUUUCUCUGCACUAUAAUCUAUUUAUUCCUACCCUUUGGCCAAUCAUUUACUCAUAUAGGAAACCUUCUCUUUUAUCCUGUAGCAAUUUUGUCCAGAAACUGUAGCAGCAAAGUAACGAACAAGUGGCUGAUCACAAGACAGUGAGGAAUAAAUGGUAGCACACACUGUUUCAGUCGCAGCAACGAAGAGUGGAGAACCAGGAAAUAAUGCCUUGCGGAUUUUGAGGAGAAACCGUAACGUGUUUUCAGGAAAGAUUUUUCCUUGCCUUAAGACUGCCAGCUUUGGGUGAAUAUAAAUUGAGGGGGCUGGGGGAAGGCAAUGAUGACACAGAAAGCCAACCAACUAAAAAAAAAAAAAAAA